UGGGGAAUUUUGGACAAUGGGCGAAAGCCUGAUCCAGCAAUGCCGCGUGUGUGAAGAAGGCCUCGGGUUGUAAAGCACUUUUGUCCGGAAAGAAAUCCUUGGCUCUAAUACAGUCGGGGGAUGACGGUACCGGAAGAAUAAGCACCGGCUAACUACGUGCCAGCAGCCGCGGUAAUACGUAGGGUGCAAGCGUUAAUCGGAAUUACUGGGCGUAAAGCGUGCGCAGGCGGUUUGCUAAGACCGAUGUGAAAUCCCCGGGCUCAACCUGGGAACUGCAUUGGUGACUGGCAGGCUAGAGUAUGGCAGAGGGGGGUAGAAUUCCACGUGUAGCAGUGAAAUGCGUAGAGAUGUGGAGGAAUACCGAUGGCGAAGGCAGCCCCCUGGGCCAAUACUGACGCUCAUGCACGAAAGCGUGGGGAGCAAACAGGAUUAGAUACCCUGGUAGUCCACGCCCUAAACGAUGUCAACUAGUUGUUGGGGAUUCAUUUCCUUAGUAACGUAGCUAACGCGUGAAGUUGACCGCCUGGGGAGUACGGUCGCAAGAUUAAAACUCAAAUGAAUUGACGGGGUCAUAGCUGUUUCCU
rnacentral:rRNA from 1 species